GCGUCCCAGAUUCAUGAUCCGUGAGGAGAAGCGUAGCAGGCGUCGGUGGCCGUAGGGCCAGUUCAUAUGGGCGGCUGAGGACGAGAGACAGCGCUCCUCAUGAGCACAGAAACCCCAGGCACGACGGAGGGACAGGAAAGAGAGUGCUGGAAUCUGUCAUUUACAGCACAGUUGGGUCAUGAUGUCAUCGCGAUGAGCCAAUGGGAAACGGACGAUUCUUUCUUCUCAUGACCUUUACGCAAGUACUGCUGAUGUUUUGCUUCAAGGCCAGUGGAGGUUCAUAGCGACGAUGGAGUUCACAGCAAAAGAUUGCAAAUGGUGCAUUUAAAAUGGACUCUAUAACGCACACUGGAUCGACUGUACAUAGUUUAAAAUCAGAGAUGCAAGACUCCAUUAAAGGUUAUGAAUAAACGUCUAAUAUGUCAUGGCUCAUGAAGCCAGUUUCUGUGGGCUCAGCUGAACACACUUCGAGAGUUGAAUGCUAACUGAUCAACAAGUUUGAGAAAAGUGAUAAUGAGACAAGCUAUAAUUCCUAAAAUUCCCAAAAUUCCCAAAAUUCCCUGCUAUGUGCAAUGGAUAGUUUUUCUUUUAUUCAAAGCAAUUUUUAGUAUUGGCAUUAAAUCCUGGCUGUACAGCAGCGACUUAUGGUAGAAUUUUCUCAGUGGAAUAGAAAAUAGAGGAAAAACACAGACAUUGAAAUGGAUAGAAUUACCCGAGGGUGGAAUAUAAAACUAAUCCUGUCUGAAUUAGGGUUUUAAACUGGAUUAGUUUGACCAGAGAAAGUUCAGUAGUGUAAAAAUAUAACAGGACUGUUUGGACAGAAUAAAAAGCCUGAAUAAUUCACUAAUAAUGUCAGCAUUAUGUGGCAGGUGAUGCGAACAGUAACAUAUUCCACAUUACCGUGAGGUUUGUUCAAACACUGUGACUAUUAUGGAAGCUGCUGAAUUAUUGCUUAUUCAUGACGACUCACUUCAAUUACAUCCUCUUCACAUCCUCAGUCAGAUUAGUCUUUUACAGUUCAGAAAAUAAGCUGUUUCAUAUAGAAAUGUGUG